ensembl:lncRNA
UCAGUGACCUUUCACUCUUACAUACCCUGACUUUGGUUUUUAUUUUGGUUCAGACGAAGUUGGAGGAAGGCUUGUAGCUGGCAUUGAACUGAACAAGUUGGACCGACUGGUAAAGGCUUGGAAGGGCUAAGACAUGGAUUACAAAGCCCCGGGAAUUCCUCCAAACACAAAUUCCAAGCAACGGACAAAAUGAUUGAACAACAUAAAGAGAAUCACACAUUAAGAAGUUUCUAAAAAAUGUUUUUUUACCUUCUUCAGGGGUAGCAAAAUUAUGUAAUGACAGCCACAAAACAGAGGGCAAUGGUGGCCAAAGGACAGGAGAAGCUCUUGAUAUUCAACAGAGUCCUCUCCAGCAUCAAAUAUUAUUUACCUCCAGUGUUUCCAUGUAGAAGUUCUCCUCAUAAUCUACAAAUUGUCAUAUCUUAUCUUAAAAUUAUCACCAGCUGUAGUCUUAACAGAUCAUUCAAUCCAGCCCAUUCCUGAAUGUUGAAAAUGAGGAGCGUGAAGGGAAACUAAGCAUUUCCCUGAUUUAAUUAAGACUACACUUCUAGUCCUGAGCAGCCGUGGGGUGAGUAUCUUUCCACCACUCUUUCCAGUCUUUUUAGAGCCUCAUCUUCCUUUUUAGGUUGUUUGUUUUUUGCUUGUUUUUCUUUUUUUCCAAUCUUUUAGAGCCUUGUUUUACUUUAUGCUGAGAUUUUACACCUCUAUUUUAUACUCAGUCAUGAACUAUACUGUCCUUUUACAAAAGUAGGAGACAGUGGGAAAUAGUCUCAUGUGAUUCAAUCGGUAGUGGGAUGAAGCAUGAAAAAAGAAGACUCCUUUAAAAGAUGUUUGAGGAAGUAUAGCUUUGUUCAUUUCUAGUGAACGGGGUAAAGUAAUUUAAAUGGAUCUUGUUUAUUAAUUGACACAUUGAAUUGUACUUAAGAGCACACACUGCAACUUUAAUCACAGUUUAAUUCUUGCCUUUAGAGUCUUAGCUAUUUUCUAUAGCUUUUUCUAUAGAUGAUCAGGAUGUGACUCAGUACACAAAACGAGGGAAAGUGGAAAGCCUAUUUUAUGUGUAAUGUUAAACAGAGAGAACACACUUAUUUUCCUUGAUGUUUGUGAGCUAGUCAAAAUCAUCUCACCUUUAUUUACCCCAGAAGAAAGCUAAANNNNNNNNNNNNNNNNNNNNNNNNNNNNNNNNNNNNNNNNNNNNNNNNNNNNNNNNNNNNNNNNNNNNNNNNNNNNNNNNNNNNNNNNNNNNNNNNNNNACCUUUAUUUACCCCAGAAGAAAGCUAAACGACGUUCCUUCAAGAACUGGGGGAAUACACUAUAUGAAUCUUGUUUAUAGAAAACAGUGGAAUAUUUUCCAGGUGACUGUUUCUGAUAAAAGCAUGUAAAGCUCAUUAAAAAAAACAAUGAACAUACAUAAGCAACUUUAUAUGACCUUCUCUGUAUGGAAGGAUAUAGGAACAUUUCAUAUCCUAGAAAACAGUUAAAGAAGGCAUAUUGGUCAGGAUCCUGCCAGAAAAAAAAAGAAAUUAUUUGAAGUCCUUCAAACACAAGAAAGUUGAUAAAAGGAAUUUCUGAUACAUGAAUAGAAGAACAGCUGAACCGGUUUAGAUUGGAGUAACCCAGAAAUUAGCUACAGCACAAAGCCCUUACUUUCCCAAUGGAGAGCAAAACAAAGGGAGAGAUUAUAUUACUAGAACCCAGAAACUAGGGCAUCUGAAGAAGGUAGAACCACAGCAGUGGCUGCCCAGCAGGAGAUGAAGCCGUGGAUAAAAUAUAGUACCUGUAAGAAUAGUCUCUGGAAACAGAAACACCCCAGCUUCUCCUCUCCCUAAACUUCCAUGAGUUUCUCUCAACGCUAAACUUACUGGGAAGCCGAGAGUAGGGAGUCUGGGAAAUACAGAUUAACAUAACGCAGAGCAGAGAGGAGAAAGAGUGGUGAAGGACUCUGAUAGCAGACAGGGAGAGGACAAAUAACUGGAGAGACAGUCUAUUUGCAGAAACAAUAACAAAUAUCCAAUGAUUAUACAGCAGUGUAAGAAAAUAUGUAACCAGGUGCUUAAAAUUAGACACAUGGAUACUUAACUUUUCAUUAAAUAUGAGACAUGUCUCUGGUUGGAAGGUACAUAGAAUCAGGAGAAGCUGAGAUGAGAUGUGACUUGUCCUGUGACAGGAUUUGAUGUGGAGAAAAAGUAGGGAGCUAUAGAGGGAAGAGAUGUAGUGAAAAAAAUAAAAAGCAAAGAAUUAUCUGGAAGUAUAUGUAUGAAAUGGGGGUGGAGAAGGAAAUAGGUGGUGUGCUCACGUGAGGAGACCAGGAGGAUAAUGCCUUCCUCCUCUUUUCCUUCCUUUUGUCCUUACCUCCUUUCUCCAUUAAAUCAAUAAGUGUUUAUUGAGCACCUUCUAUUCGCCUUUUAAAAAACUUUUUAUUUUAUAUUGGAGUACAGUCAAUUAUAUUAAAUAGACAGCAUAUUAAAAAGCAGAGACAUUACUUUGCCAAUAAAGGUC